rnacentral:rRNA from 1 species
UACAGAGGGUGCGAGCGUUGUCCGGAAUCACUGGGCGUAAAGGGCGCGUAGGCGGCUUGAUAAGCGUGCGGUGAAAGCCCGGGGCUCAACCCCGGGUCGGCCGUGCGAACUGUCGAGCUGGAGCACUGUAGAGGCAGGUGGAAUUCCGGGUGUAGCGGUGAAAUGCGCAGAUAUCAGGAGGAACACCGGUGGCGAAGGCGGGUCUCUGGGCCGAAACUGACGCUGAGGAGCGAAAGCGUGGGGAGCGAACAGG